UGCAGUCGAGCGAGGUCUUCGGGUCUAGCGGCGGAGGGGUGAGGAACGCGGGGGAACGUGCCCUUUGCUACGGAAUAGUCCUGGGAAACUGGGGGUAAUACCGUAUACGCCCUUUUGGGGAAAGAUUUAUCGGCGAAGGAUCGGCCCGCGUUGGAUUAGGUAGUUGGUGGGGUAAUGGCCUACCCAGCCGACGAUCCAGAGCUGGUUUGAGAGGAUGAUCAGCCACACUGGGACUGAGACGCGGGCCAGACUCCUACGGGAGGGAGCAAUGGGGAAUCUUACACCAUGGGGGCAACCCUGAUCUAGCCGUGCCGCGUGAGUGAUGAAGGCCUUAGGGUUGUAAAGCUCUUUCAGCUGGGAAGAUAAUGACGGUACCAGCAGAAGAAGCCCCGGCUAACUCCGUGCCAGCAGCCGCGGUAAUACGGAGGGGGCUAGCGUUGUUCGGAAUUACUGGGCGUAAAGAGCUCGUAGGCGGUUUGUCAAAACGUCUGCUGGUGAAAUCCCGAGGCUCAACCUCGCAACGGCCUUGCAGUGGGUAUUGGUAGACUAGAGUGCGAGUAGAGGUGAGAUUGGAAUUCCUGAGUGUAGAGGUGGAAUGCGCAGAUAUCAGGAGGAACACCGAUGGCGAAGGCGGAUCUCUGGGUCGUAACUGACGCUGAGGAGCGAAAGCAUGGGGAGCAAACAGGAUUAGAUACCCUGGUAGUCCAUGCCGUAAACGUUGAGAACUAGAUGUGGGGACCAUUCCACGGUCUCCGUGUCGUAACUAAAGCAUUAAUUUCCCCGGCUGGGGAGUACGGCCGCAAGGCUAAAACUCAAAUGAAUUGACGGGCGCCCGCACAAGCGGAGGGAGCAUGCUGGAUUAAUUCGAUGCAACGCGAAGAACCUUACCAAGGCUUGACAUAUACCAGAACCGGCACUGGAGACCGUGAACUCUUUGGACACUUCGAUGACCAGGUGACAGGUGGUGCAUGGUUGUCCUCAUCUCGUGUCGAGAGAUGUUCGUGUUAASUCCSGCAACGAGCGCAACCCWCGUCCCCGGUUGCCAGCAUUCAGGUGGGCACUCUGUGGAAACUGGCGGUGAUAAACCGGAAGAAGGUGUGGAUGACGUCCAGUCCUCAUGGCCCUUACGGGUUGGGCUACCCACGUGCUACAAUGGGGGUGACAGUGGGUUAAUCCCCAAAAGCCAUCUCAGUUCGCAUUGUCCUCUGCAACUCGAGGGCAUGAAGUUGGAAUCGCUAGUAAUCGCGGAACAGAAUGCCGCGGUGAAUACGUUCCCGGGCCUUGUACACACCGCCCGUCACACCAUGGGAGUUGGGUCUACCCGACGGCCGUGCGCCAACCCGCAAGGAAGGCAGCGGACCACGCUUGGCUCAGCGACUGGGGUGAAGUCGUAACAAGGUAACCGUAAAGUCUCACAGGUAACCCUUAAAU
rnacentral:rRNA from 1 species